UGCGUAGGCGGUCGGGUAAGUCUGAUGUGAAAUCUCCAAGCUCAACUUGGAAAUGGCAUCGGAUACUAUUCGGCUCGAGGAAUGGAGGGGAGACUGGAAUACUUGGUGUAGCAGUGAAAUGCGUAGAUAUCAAGUGGAACACCAGUGGCGAAGGCGAGUCUCUGGACAUUUCCUGACACUGAGGCACGAAGGCCAGGGGAGCAAACG
rnacentral:rRNA from 1 species